GACGAACGCUGGCGGCGUGCCUAAUACAUGCAAGUCGAGCGAGACUCUUCGGAGUCUAGCGGCGGACGGGUGAGUAACACGUGGGCUACCUGCCUGUAAGACUGGGAUAACACCGGGAAACCGGUGCUAAUACCGGAUAAUCCUUUUUCUCUCAUGAGGAAAAGCUGAAAGUCGGUUUCGGCUGACCCUUACAGAUGGGCCCGCGGCGCAUUAGCUAGUUGGUGAGGUAACGGCUCACCAAGGCGACGAUGCGUAGCCGACCUGAGAGGGUGAUCGGCCACACUGGGACGGAGACACGGCCCAGACUCCUACGGGAGGCAGCAGUAGGGAAUCUUCCACAAUGGACGAAAGUCUGAUGGAGCAACGCCGCGUGAGUGAUGAAGGCCUUCGGGUCGUAAAACUCUGUUGUUAGGGAAGAACAAGUAUCGGAGUAACUGCCGGUACCUUGCCGGUACCUAACCAGAAAGCCACGGCUAACUACGUGCCAGCCGCCGCCGUAAAAC
rnacentral:rRNA from 1 species